GAUGAAGAACGCAGCGAAAUGCGAUAAGUAAUGUGAAUUGCAGAAUUCAGUGAAUCAUCGAAUCUUUGAACGCACAUUGCGCCCCCUGGUAUUCCGGGGGGCAUGCCUGUCCGAGCGUCAUUACAACCCUCAAGCUCAGCUUGGUAUUGGGCCCCGCCGACCCGGCGGGCCCUAAAGUCAGUGGCGGUGCCGUCCGGCUCCGAGCGUAGUAAUUCUUCUCGCUCUGGAGGUCCGGUCGUGUGCUCGCCAGCAAACCCCAAUUUUUUUCAGGUUGACCUCGGAUCAGGUAGGGAUACCCGCUGAACUUAAGCAUAUCAAUAAGCGGAGGA
rnacentral:misc_RNA from 1 species